rnacentral:rRNA from 1 species
UACCUUGUUACGACUUAACCCCAAUCAUCCCCCCCACCUUAGGCCGACGAAUCGGACUUCGGGUGUUGGUGACUUUCAUGGUUUGACGGGCGGUGUGUACAAGACCCGGGAACGUAUUCACCGCAGCUUGCUGAUCUGCGAUUACUAGCGAUUCCGAUUUCAAAGAGGCGAGUUUCAGCCUCUUAUCCGAACUGAGAUUAGCUUUGAUGCGAUUUGCUCCACCUCGCGGCUUCGCUGCGCAUUGUACUAACCAUUGUAUCGUGUUUCUAGCCCAGGGUGUAAGGGUAGUACUGACCUGACAUCAUCCCCUCCUUCCUCCCCGUUACCGGGGCAGUUUGAAUAGAAAAAUACAACUAUUCACAAGGGUUGCGCUCGUUAAUGGACUUAACCAAGCAUCUCACGACACGAGCUGACGACAGCCAUGCAACACCUGUCACCUGGCUCAAUAAAGCACUCUCGCCUUUCGGCAAAAUUCCAAGGAUGUCAAACCCUGGUAAGGUUCUUCGUUUAUCAUCGAAUUAAAGAACACGGUCCACUGCUUGUGCGGGUCCCCGUCAAUUCCUUUAUGUUUUAGUCUUGCGACCGUACUCCACAGGCGGGAUACUAACCGCGUAAGCUUCGCUACUGAAGGGGUCGAUACCUCCAACAGCUAGUAUCCAUUCGUUUUGCGGCGUGGACUACCCCGGGUAUCUGAUCCGGUUCGCUCCCCACGCUUUCGUGCCUCAGUGUCAGAAAUGGCUCAGUAACCUGCCUACUCAUUGGUGUUCCUUCUUAAUUUCUACGGAUUUCACUCCUACACAAGAAUUCCAGUUACCU